GUGUCAGCAGCCGCGGUAAGACGUAGGGCGCGAGCGUUGUCCGGAUUUAUUGGGCGUAAAGAGCUCGUAGGCGGCUUGUCGCGUCGUCCGUGAAAACCUGCAGCUCAACUGCAGGCUUGCGGUCGAUACGGGCAGGCUAGAGUUCGGUAGGGGAGACUGGAAUUCCUGGUGUAGCGGUGAAAUGCGCAGAUAUCAGGAGGAACACCGGUGGCGAAGGCGGGUCUCUGGGCCGAUACUGACGCUGAGGAGCGAAAGCGUGGGGAGCGAACAGGAUUAGAAACCCUCGUAGUCC
rnacentral:rRNA from 1 species